ACGAACGCUGGCGGCGUGCUUAACACAUGCCAGUCGAACGGAAAGGCCCCUUUGGGGGUACUCGAGUGGCGAACGGGUGAGUAACACGUGAGUAACCUGCCCUUGACUUCGGGAUAACUUCAGGAAACUGGGGCUAAUACCGGAUAGGAAUCCUUGCUGCAUGGUGGGGGUUGGAAAGCUUCGGCGGUUUUGGAUGGACUCGCGGCUUAUCAGCUUGUUGGUGGGGUAGUGGCUUACCAAGGCUUUGACGGGUAGCCGGCCUGAGAGGGCGACCGGCCACAUUGGGACUGAGAUACGGCCCAGACUCCUACGGGAGGCAGCAGUGGGGAAUAUUGCACAAUGGGCGGAAGCCUGAUGCAGCAACGCCGCGUGCGGGAGGACGGCCUUCGGGUUGGAAACCGCUUUCAGCAGGGGCGAAGCUUGUGGUGACGGUACCUGCAGAAGAAGCACCGGCUAACUACGUG
rnacentral:rRNA from 1 species